UCCUAAUUAAACCUAAUUAUAUCGCAUCAUAAAAAAAAUCAAACUAAAUCCAAAAUUUUAUUAAAAACUAAUUAAAUGUACUCAAAUGAUUUAUGCAGAAAAAAUAAAUAAAAAAUCAAAUUACACCUUGCGUGUUUGUGCUGUUUACACCUUCCAUGGAAGCUUUCCCCGCAGUGAAAUUUGUCGGUUCAAACAAUAUCUAGUGCAUGAACACGUAGUGUUCGCAAUUUCGAAAGGAAAACGCAGCCACAUCGAAGCUCAAGAGUAAAUCAAUGGCAAUAAGUUAAGCAUGUACCAUAAUCCGGCAUGGUGGCUCUUUAGAAUCAACGUCGACUUAUCAGGUUGGAUUAUAUUGUAUACUAUUAGCAAAUGAUGCAGGGAAGUAUAUUGGUUUUGUUGUGAAAAUUAUGCCGGUGGAUCUAAUUGAUUUUCUGUCACGUACAUUUGAGCUACUUUGAAAUGUUAAUGUGCUAUAUGUGAGUUGCGUAUGAAUGGUAGGGAAUUGACUUGUGAGUUUGGAAAUGUGCUAGGGACUUGGGAUUGGGUUAGUGUAUUUGAAUUAAAUUGUAUUGAUGGAAAGUUAGUUGCAUUUGGCUUGUAUGAAUUGGAAUGUGUUAUGAAAUAUCAAGUUGUGUAUGGAAAUGAUUGAAUUGUUUGGAAAUUGAAUUGAAUGCUUGGAAUUGUAUGAA